rnacentral:tRNA from 1 species
GCUUUAGUGGUUCAGCAGUAGAAUUCUCACCUUCCAUGGGGGAAAUUUGGGUUUGAUUCCCACCUCAUGCA